AGCAAAUAUAAAAAGGAAUGAACAAAAUUGAGGCAUAUAACAAUAUCUCAUUUUAUUAAUAGAAUUCAUACAAUAAUUGAUACAAUAAUUUAUUCAAAUUCACUAAUUUAUUCUACUUAUUUUCUCCCUUUUGGGGUAAAAAGUAAUCAAUCUUCUUGGGGAAAAUACAUCACCAACCAUUGGGCUAAAUUUAAAUUUGGUUUUUUUUAUACCCCAACAAGAAUCUUUUUACCCACGGUAAAAGUUUAUGGAGUAAAAAAAAGCAGAUUUAAACUUAUCUCAAGGGUUGAUCAGUUCCCCAAGUCGACUACUCACUGUUUUACCUCGAAGAAGUUUGAUCACUUUUGCCCCCAAAGAGAAUAUUGAAAAAAGAAAGAAAGAAGAGAAAUAGAGGGAGAGAGUGAGCAGGGGGAGAAAGUGAGAUGGUGUGAGAAAAUAGGGAAGUAAGGAGGGGUAUUUAUAGGUGGGAAUGGUAGUGUAGGUUAUAACCACCAUAAAUGUGGUCAAAAAAAUGUGAGAAGUUUGUAGAAAACGUGUGGAUUGAAGGUUGAAAACCUGACCACCAUACAAAAAACGUUUGUUCUUCAGUUCUGACCACCAGCCAACGUGCGUGAGUUAACUCGCGCAUAGGCCAGUGAUGCGUGACUUAAGUCACGCAGAGGUUAUAAGAUGCGCAAGUUAAAUCACGCAGUGUAACUUAACUUGCGCAAUGACAUUUUUGACAUGGCUGCACGACGCGAGCAAAAUAUGUUGGGUGAAGAGCAACAUUCUAAAUAGAAUCAUUGGUGAUGCUAUCGGAUUUCUCUAUCUUUAUUUAUAAUACUUUAUGACACACUUUACAUUAAAAAAAUGUGACAUUAUGUCUAUAGAUUCAACAUUGGGGUAAAAAACAACUUUUCUUUGCGCCAAAAAUCACAAUUUUUAGGGGGAAACAUGGAUUGUGACUAAAAGUUUUACUAGAGGUCGGUGGGAAUAUGACAGGCUAGUUUACAGAGGCCUAUGUCAAACCAGAUCAGUUUUUUUGUUAAACAAGGUAGGCUAAUGCUUUUUUACAAGUUUAUUUAGUUAAAAAUAUCAGGUCAUAAGCCAUUUAAAAAGAUUUUUAGACCUAUUAAAUUAGCCUUCCUAAAUAAACAUGAAUAAUUUUGUAUUUUCUAUUAUUAUAAUUAUUAUUAUAAAUUUUAUACUUUAUAUUAAAUUACAAAUUUUUUAACUUUUUAGUAAUAUAAACUUAUUUGUCUUCCCCUCAAAAAAAUAAACUUAUUUGUCUUCCCCUCAAAAAAAUAAACUUGUUUUGAGAAGUUAAAUAUUACACUUAAAUUCUCCCUAACCAGAGCUCUUUGUGGUGUGUUUUGUCCUUUCAUAUUAAUUGAACAUGUUUAUCGUUUGCCGAUUGACGUAAGUGCUAUUAUGGAUGUUAUCAAUGAAUCAAUAUCCUCUUUAUUUUAGAUCUUUCCCAUUUUUUUAAUUUAGAGAGAUAAAGACACAAUAAAAUUUAAAAAUAAUCAAUGAUGGUGGGACCCACUAGUCGGUAGGACCCACGAUUUAUAUUUUUUGUGGAUCUUUUUUUAAAUGGCAAUCUCGUUUUAUUUUUAUAAAUGGAGAGAAUCCUAGAAGGGGAGGGAAAUGGUAAGCUCAAAAAGAAAAACAUUAAAAUGCACAUUACAACCGUCAACAAUGGUCUGCCUUGCGAAGAGCACUUGGGCACCAAGCAAAUUUCAAACCUUAUAAAAGCUAAAAGGCUGCAAAAAGAAAGGGUUCAAACAUUUUCACAUAGAGGAAGAAGGGAACAAAUUCAGCUUUUGGAAACAAGAUUGAAGGAUUAAAAUUUAUAUUUCAAUGUGUAAUUCUUACCAUGAGUAGAAGAAUCUCUCUAGAUUAGGAUGAAGAUGAAUAUCUUUUGAUCUAUUUGAGCUAUGUAAUUCGUGUGAUUCUAUGCAAUUGAGUUCAUAUGCUUAUUCAAUCAUCCUUUUGUUUAAUGAUUCUCAAACUCUGGCCUUUUAUGAAUUGAAAUUUGGCACAGUUUACUUUUGGAAAAUAGUUUAAUGAUUCUAUGUAUACGAUUGCUAUAGGAAUAUAAAAUCGCUCACAUGUAAUUGUAAAAAAAAAAAUCACUUUUCUGUAAAUUAAUUACAAACCAUAUGUAUACAAACUUUUUAUUAUUUA
rnacentral:lncRNA from 1 species